CUAGCCGUAAACGAUGGGUACUAGGUGUGGGAGGUAUCGACCCCUUCCGUGCCGGAGUUAACGCAAUAAGUACCCCGCCUGGGGACUACGAUCGCAAGAUUGAAACUCAAAGGAAUUGACGGGGGCCCGCACAAGCGGUGGAGCAUGUGGUUUAAUUCGAAGCAACGCGCAGAACCUUACCAACCCUUGACAUCGGGAUCGCGGAUUACAGAGAUGUUUUCCUUCAGUUCGGCUGGAUCCCAGACAGGUGC
rnacentral:rRNA from 1 species